CAAUCGCCUCCACCUCGAGAGUAACAUGUGAACCGUCUCCACUUUUACUGUUCCACAUAACUACACCUUUCCUCCAUAUCUCUCUAUUCCUCUCUUUCUAUCUGCAACAUCUCUCGAAUCAGCUCCUCGCAUAAGAGGGAAUCAUAUGCUUAUGCAUCUAAUUACCUCUUUGAUGGUUAUUUUUUAAAUUUAUGCGGUGAAAAAUGGGUUGUGACAUAGCUUUUAAAUUCUGAUGUCAUGAUUAAUGAACACUCUUAUAAGUCAGGACAAUGAAUCUCUCUUAUGUUCCGGGUUAUAUAUCAACAAUGGAUACGGGUAUGACUCGAUUCAAUCUUUUAGGGUUUUGGAUUCAUAAUUUAUUUGCUUCAGCCGUAAAUCGUUGUAUUAAAUUUGGUUUUUUAAAUUUCCAAAAACAUGAUGAAUUAAGUUUAUUGACUCCAGGUUACAUAAAAUCUUUAAUUUUUUGAUGAAUAGAUUUUAUUUA